UACAGAGGGUGCGAGCGUUAAUCGGAAUUACUGGGCGUAAAGCGCGCGUAGGUGGUUGUGUAAGUCGAGUGUGAAAGCCCCGGGCUCAACCUGGGAACUGCAUUCGAGACUGCAUUACUCGAGUAUGGGAGAGGGCAGUGGAAUUUCCGGUGUAGCGGUGAAAUGCGUAGAUAUCGGAAGGAACAUCAGUGGCGAAAGCGACUGCCUGGCCCAAUACUGACACUCAAGUGCGAAAGCGUGGGGAGCAAACAGG
rnacentral:rRNA from 1 species